GCGCCUGUAGUUCAAUGGAUAGAGCAUUGGCCUCCGAAGCCAAAGACUGCUGGUUCGAGUCCAGCCAGGCGCA
rnacentral:tRNA from 1 species